rnacentral:rRNA from 1 species
UACGGAGGGGGCAAGCGUUGUUCGGAAUUACUGGGCGUAAAGGGCGCGUAGGCGGCCUUCUAAGUCGGACGUGAAAUCCCCGGGCUCAACCCGGGAACUGCGUUCGAGACUGAAAGGCUCGAAUCCGGGAGAGGGAUGUGGAAUUCCAGGUGUAGCGGUGAAAUGCGUAGAUAUCUGGAGGAACAUCGGUGGCGAAGGCGGCAUCCUGGACCGGUAUUGACGCUGAGGCACGAAAGCCAGGGGAGCAAACGGG